rnacentral:sRNA from 1 species
AUUUUAUCAUCAUCUUA